rnacentral:lncRNA from 1 species
CCUGUGAAAUGUGGCAUCCUUACAUACACAGGGAGGUUAAAGGAUCAGAAUACAAUCCAUAGAGCCCUGAGCUUGUGAGUUUCUCCUCUCGGAGCAUCAGCCCAGUUCUUCCUGACCCUCACCUCCAGAGGAGGACACAGCUACCAGGAUGAGGGAAUCCUCACGCCCCGCGGGCUCCUCUGAAUAUUGAAGUUUCUCCGUCACAGAGCCCAGAAUGUCCUGCACAGAUGCUGAAAGGCGGCUGCGUAUGGUCACAUAAGAGUGGUCAGGCAUGUAUACACGGCAGAAGACUGGACGGAAACAGGAAAAUGGCUUUCAACAGAGGGCAGAGUGGCAGCAGCUGGCACAGUCUCCUCCAGGGUGCCUCUAUUCCCCACCAGAGGCUGGCCUCUGAAGAAGGUCCUGUGAAAGGGGCUGGUUCUACCACCCAGGGAGAUGCCACUGAGGGUGCUCAAGACCCAGAGAUAUGUCCCCCUGAGCCACUCAGGACACCCUGCCCCUCCUAAUGCCCACACUCACUCUCAUCAGAGCCCCGGAAGGCCACCCGGGUCUGCAGACAGGAG